rnacentral:rRNA from 1 species
CCCUUAGAUGUCCGGGGCUGCACGCGCGCUACACUGAAUGAAUCAGCGUGCUAGAAAACCUUGUUUGACAUGGCUAGGUAACCCAUUGAAAAUCAUUCGUGAUUGGGAUCGGGACUUGCAAAUGUGUCCCUUGAACGAGGAAUUCCCAGUAAGUGCGGGUCAUCAGCUCGCGUUGAUUACGUCCCUGCCCUUUGUACACACCGCCCGUCGCUGCCCGGAACUGAGCCGUUUCGAGAAGACUGAGGAUUGCCGUCUUGAGGCCUUCACGGGCUUCUAGUCGGUGAAAAUCAAUUUAAUCGCAGCGGCUUGAACCGGGCAAAAGUCGUAACA